rnacentral:lncRNA from 1 species
AGGCAAAGGAUGUUCACGGAUAUAACUGAAGACGCGGGUGGUGAGGGAGGUGUCGUGGACAGAUCUGAGGUCGCGGGUGGUAAGGAAGGUGUCGCGGGCAUACUGGGGACGCGGGUUGUGACGGAGGUGUCGCGGACGCCACCCUCUCUAUUCAGCAGCCUCGGUCACCUUUAUGGACGCGCCGGCCCUGCCUUGAGGCUGCUGCUGCAUGUCUUUGCGGCUCGCGUGAUGGUUAAUUCCGGUUUAGUUCAUAUUUGUGAAGAGAAUGUGAGUGCAUAAUGUCACUGUGUCGUGUCUGAAGAGCUCAUCUGGAAUCCCUAAAGGAGAGACCUUAACAUCUUUACUUUCAGCAGAGUUUUCUUGAAAAUAAAUCCUGGAAGAUGGUCAUAGGCUGAGAUGAAAGGGACUCUUCUAAGACCUCGGAUGUUCUAAAUGACUUUAAUCCUUGGAAAAUGUGAGCUUUGUCCAAAGACACUGAACAUUUGAUUGCUGAAAUUGGCAUACAGAGAGGUAAUGAACAUACACAUGGAGUCCUGCUUUUUGCAGUUCUCAACAUCACAACAUUCCUCCAUGACUGAUGGAAUUUUUGAUUCAUGCUCUUCUCUUUAAUAAAAAAUGACAAUAGCCUUGUUCCCUGGGUCUAGCUAUACCAUUUUUACAUUCUGAAAUGUUUUACUUAUGAGGUUAUUUUUAUAAGGUAAUUUUAAUGAAGUACUGAUAUUGUAUGUUUAUACGCUCACAAGAAAUUUGUAUGUUCUUUGUAAUUUUGUUUUUGGAUGUGCAUUUUUACCAAAGCUGCAGGCCUGUUUGUUUCAGAUUCCCUGUUUAUUGGUUUAAGAAGUAAUAGUAAAUGCAGAAAAUAACAAAGGGAAGCGAUUAUACAAAUAUAAAUUCAUGAAAUACUAACUUUUCAUUCUGUGACAUUUAUUUUUGUUACCUGUUUCAAUUUCAGUGCUUAUAGUUUUCUUCUUUUGUAAUAACUUAGUGAAUAUAAUGUUAAAAAAAUAAAUGGCUUUGUGC